GGCUUUUUAGGUUAACUAAUAAUUUCUCUAUAUCUUUUUGGGUUUAAUUUUAUAAUUCUCUUGUUAUCGUUAAUGAGAUAGUUUAUAACCAUACGGAUAUUCAAGAGUUGUCUAAAGAGUUAUUUUUUUUUAUCGAAAAUUUCGAAGAGAUGAUGGAAAAUGAAAAAAUUCCAAAGAGGCAAAGGCGGGAAAGGCACCUCGCCUUACCUUUUAUAUUAAAUGGCUUAGUUAAAUGGUUAAAGGUAAGACGGAAGCACUAUCACGUUUUGUAAGACACCAACAGUGGUCUGUUUUCCUUCUUCCAUCAAUGAGAUGGCACAGACAAAUGGGGGUGCUUAGCCGCCUUGUAAGUCGAGAUACUUUAUAGGGAUAUUUAAGAUUUGAACAUAAUUAUGAUGGUAACUUUUUUUCACCCUUCUCCAAGUAUAAACAUUAUUAUACUCGCCCAAUUCACUUAAGUUUUCACAAAAAUUAUAUAUGUGCACACAUUCAUCUUUAAGGUAAUUUUUCCCCCACGUAAUCACAUGUUAUACACUCUAGUGUCUGUAGACUUUAAUUAAUGUGGUAUUAAUUUAACUAACCCAUCAAUAUAUACGUGUGACUUAGCUUGUAAUGCUUCAUAAUUAUGUGUUAAAUGUACUUGUCCCUAAAAUUAAUAUGAUUAUGCUAUUGCUAGCUAGCUAAGUGUUUGUCUAUACUUGUCAUGCAUCAUUAGCAAUAGACUGCCAAACUAAGCCGACUACCAGAGGCAUCUAAUGGAUAUGGAGUAGCUAGGAAAGGGUUAGGUUGGUUGAACAAUGGAAUGUUGGCUCAUAAGCAUUCAAACCAUAUAGAUAUAAGUACUUUCAUACAAGUUAAAUACAAAAUAUAAGAGUUUAUGUUUUUGUUUGAAAAAUGAAACGCUAUACUCAA
rnacentral:lncRNA from 1 species